rnacentral:rRNA from 1 species
AUUGAACGCUGGCGGCAUGCCUUACACAUGCAAGUCGAACGGUAACGGGUCCUUCGGGAUGCCGACGAGUGGCGAACGGGUGAGUAAUAUAUCGGAACGUGCCCAGUAGUGGGGGAUAACUGCUCGAAAGAGCAGCUAAUACCGCAUACGACCUGAGGGGGAAAGGGGGGGAUCGCAAGACCCCUCGCUAUUGGAGCGGCCGAUAUCAGAUUAGCUAGUUGGUGGGGUAAAGGCCUACCAAGGCAACGAUCUGUAGUUGGUCUGAGAGGACGACCAGCCACACUGGGACUGAGACACGGCCCAGACUCCUACGGGAGGCAGCAGUGGGGAAUUUUGGACAAUGGGCGCAAGCCUGAUCCAGCAAUGCCGCGCGCAGGAAGAAGGCCUUCGGGUUGUAAACUGCUUUUGUCAGGGAAGAAAUCUUCUGGGCUAAUACCCCGGGAGGAUGACGGUACCUGAAGAAUAAGCACCGGCUAACUACGUGCCAGCCGCCGCAGUAA